UGCUCUCUGAGGUGGAGGCAUCCCCGUAGGAAAUAUAUGGAGUCUUGGAGUUGCUUUGUGUUCACAUUCCCUAAUUGUGCAUAAAAAGGGGCAUCCUUCAUUAGCUUGUAAUCGAAAGUGAAUUCAGAGCUCUGAAGGUCAAGAGAUGAAAAUGCCUGUUCUGCACAGAUCAGUUGCAGUGACAGAUACAGUGAGAUACUGCAGUCCCCUCCAAAUGGCUUGUGGUGUCCUGGGUGUGUAGGAAGGUCACACAAAUGCUACAUAAAACUCUGCAGAAGAAAGAGUGCUUCAUGCAUUGACAAGUCCAAAGAUAUGGCUAAUGAACCCAGACCAGAAAUUUAGCUACUGUAAACCUGCACAUACUUGGCAGCUGUUCUGUGAUAUUCAUGAAGCACAUAUUUUUCUCCUGCAGGUAACAUCUCUUUGCCAAGCGUAUUCAGACUUAGAACAGAUAGAAAUAUUUGAUGAUCAGCUAUAUUCUUCUGUGGAAGGAAAUGUUGGUGUUUGGUGUUUUAUAUUUUUGUUGGUUUUUUUUCAUCCCAUACAUGAAAAUUGUAGUUUCUGUUUCUUACUGCCU